rnacentral:rRNA from 1 species
AUUGAACGCUGGCGGCAUGCCUUACACAUGCAAGUCGAACGGCAGCGCGGACUUCGGUCUGGCGGCGAGUGGCGAACGGGUGAGUAAUACAUCGGAACGUACCCUGUUGUGGGGGAUAACUAGGCGAAAGAUUAGCUAAUACCGCAUACGACCUGAGGGUGAACGUGGGGGACCGCAAGGCCUCACGCAGCAGGAGCGGCCGAUGUCUGAUUAGCUAGUUGGUGGGGUAAAGGCCCACCAAGGCGACGAUCAGUAGCUGGUCUGAGAGGACGACCAGCCACACUGGGACUGAGACACGGCCCAGACUCCUACGGGAGGCAGCAGUGGGGAAUUUUGGACAAUGGGGGCAACCCUGAUCCAGCAAUGCCGCGUGUGUGAAGAAGGCCUUCGGGUUGUAAAGCACUUUUGUCCGGAAAGAAAUCGCGCUGGUUAAUACCUGGCGUGGAUGACGGUACCGGAAGAAUAAGCACCGGCUAACUACGUGCCAGCCGCCGCUGUAA